rnacentral:rRNA from 1 species
GAUGAACGCUGGCGGCGUGCCUAAUACAUGCAAGUCGAGCGAACAGACGAGGAGCUUGCUCCUCUGACGUUAGCGGCGGACGGGUGAGUAACACGUGGAUAACCUACCUAUAAGACUGGGAUAACUUCGGGAAACCGGAGCUAAUACCAGAUAACAUGUUGAACCGCAUGGUUCAACAGUGAAAGACGGUCUUGCUGUCACUUAUAGAUGGAUCCGCGCCGCAUUAGCUAGUUGGUAAGGUAACGGCUUACCAAGGCAACGAUGCGUAGCCGACCUGAGAGGGUGAUCGGCCACACUGGAACUGAGACACGGUCCAGACUCCUACGGGAGGCAGCAGUAGGGAAUCUUCCGCAAUGGGCGAAAGCCUGACGGAGCAACGCCGCGUGAGUGAAGAAGGUCUUCGGAUCGUAAAACUCUGUUAUUAGGGAAGAACAAAUGUGUAAGUAACUUUGCACGUCUUGACGGUACCUAAUCAGAAAGCCACGGCUAACUACGUG